CAAUUACUCAAUUAUUGAUAUGUUUUGGCUGUGUCCCCACCCAAACCUCAUCUUGAAUUGUAACUCCCAUAAUUCCCACGUGUCAUGGGGGGAACCUGGUGGGAGGUGAUUGAAUUAUGGGAGCGGGUAUUUCCUGUGCUGUUCUCGUGAUAGUGAAUGAAUCUCACAAGAUCUGAUGGUUUUAAAAGAUGGGAGUUUGCCUGCACAAGCUCUCUCUUUGCCUGCCACCCUGUAAGAUAUGACUUGCUCCUCCUUGCCUUCCACCCUGUUUGUGAGGCUUCCCUGGUCACAUGGAACUUUGCUUGUUGCAUGCCUUCUAAACAGCCUACCCUGCCAAGUGCCAUGAUUACUGUGACCACAUCUUCAGAACCAGAAAACAGGAUACCUGGCCCUAAGCAUGCACUCAUGGAGCAGAAGAGUUUUAAAUCUGGAAUGCCACAGAAGACAGAAGAUAACAUGCUUACUACACUUGUAAAGCAACAUGCAGCCAGCCAUUUCCAGUGCAAAUUAUCUCAUUGCAUAGUGUGACAACUAAAGGAAAAUUGGAAGCCUGACCCUAAAAUAAGCUAAUAUCAUCCAUAGACCAGACCAAAAGAAAAGCAGGGAGAAUUUGGCACAAAGCAGCUCUCUUCAAGAAAUUAUUUUCCAUGUCAUAUUUGCAUAAAUUAGUCAUGGGCCCGCCAAUUCAAUGAAAGAGGAAAAGAGCACUCAUGACCCUAGUGUGCUGGCAUCCUGUUGUCCUUUAUAGCUAAGGUCAGACUGUUUCUCCUUUUGCCUCAUGUCGGCUCCUCUUAGUCGACUAAGACUGGCAAAUCUGAGGCUACAGAUUGUGCUAUGAAUGAGCAGCUGGAAUUGCGCAACAUUUUACUUGGCUAAUAUUUCAGUUUGUUGAGUCAGUGGCCUGACAAGUAGCUACAGCCCAUGAAACAGCAUUUUCUGACUCAGUGCAUGUGCGAAAGAAGUAGUAGCUAAAGGUUCUGUUGGCACAGCCUUCUGACUCCACAGCAUUGUUCUAGGAUCUAGAUUCCUCUCUACUUAACUCGGUUUCAUUGCUUCCUAUAAAUUCUAUGUAAAUCUCAGACCCUCAGUAACAUAUCCCAAGACACAUGAUGAGCAACACUUGGUAUUCAGUUUUCUCCAGCGCUGUGAAAGAGUCCCACCAGGAAACAAUAAGGCCUUUUAGCCUAUUAAUUCAUGAGCAAUUUGAUGCCUCUUAGGCGAUAAGUGCAAGUUGAGAAAUGAAUUUCCUGCUGCUAAAAUUCCAACGCUUUAGAAACUCUUCAGUGAACAAAUAAAAGUUUAUUCUUUGCAAUAAUGAUGGAAACAAAGACUUUCAUAAAACCAAACAAUUGAAAUGUCUUGAUAAAUGCCUGCAGAGUUGGCUAGGUUUCUAAACUAUCAAAUAAUGAGUUUACCUCUUCUUACACUUUUUCAAGAAUCCAUUGAAGAAUCAAGAUAGGAAAGAGUAUGAUUCUUCAUUUUUCCUAGCCAUGCUCCACUGCUCUAUGUUAUCAUAAAAGGACUUUAAUUAAAGUGUUAUUCCAUU
rnacentral:lncRNA from 1 species